rnacentral:piRNA from 1 species
UUUGCUCUUGGAGGAACGGAGGA